UACGUAGGGGGCGAGCGUUGUCCGGAUUUAUUGGGCGUAAAGGGCGCGUAGGCGGCUUGGCAAGUGGAAGGUGAAAUCCCUCGGCUUAACCGAGGAACUGCCCUCCAAACUGCUUCGCUUGAGACCGGGAGAGGUGAGUGGAAUUCCCAGUGUAGCGGUGAAAUGCGUAGAUAUUGGGAGGAACACCAGUGGCGAAGGCGGCUCACUGGACCGGUACUGACGCUGAUGCGCGAAAGCGUGGGGAGCAAACGGG
rnacentral:rRNA from 1 species